rnacentral:rRNA from 1 species
UGGGGAAUUUUGGACAAUGGGCGCAAGCCUGAUCCAGCCAUGCCGCGCGCGGGAAGAAGGCCUUCGGGUUGUAAACCGCUUUUGUCAGGGAAGAAAUCUUCUGAGUUAAUACCUCGGGAGGAUGACGGUACCUGAAGAAUAAGCACCGGCUAACUACGUGCCAGCAGCCGCGGUAAUACGUAGGGUGCAAGCGUUAAUCGGAAUACUGGGCGUAAAGCGUGCGCAGGCGGUUUUGUAAGACAGAGGUGAAAUCCCCGGGCUCAACCUGGGAACUGCCUUUGUGACUGCAAGGCUUGAGUGCGGCAGAGGGGGGAUGGAAUUCCGCGUGUAGCAGUGAAAUGCGUAGAUAUGCGGAGGAACACCGAUGGCGAAGGCAAUCCCCUGGGCCUGCACUGACGCUCAUGCACGAAAGCGUGGGGAGCAAACAGGAUUAGAUAGCCCUGGUAGUCCACGCCCUAAACGAUGUCAACUGGUUGUUGGGAAGGUUCCUUCUCAGUAACGUAGCUAACGCGUGAAGUUGACCGCCUGGGGAGUACGGCCGCAAGGUUGAAACUCAAAGGAAUUGACGAGGUCAUAGCAUGUUUCCU